UUUAUGGUCGGGCCUUUAGUCUGCGUUGUUAAAUAAUAUGGCCUUUUAAAUAUUCAAGAAAAAGAAAAAGAAAAAAAAUCACCAAUCUCUUAUGAGGCCGGCAAUCCUCAUCAUGUUUCCAGUGCCUAAUUUUCAACUCGGGCCAUUUUUCCAAUUAUUUUGAAAGGUCGUGAUUCUCUUAUCAAAAUUUGAAAAAUUGGUUAAAUUGUAUGGAAUGCACGCUUUUAAUGAAUUAACCCAUAUCAUUUUUAUUCUCCAG
rnacentral:lncRNA from 1 species